CAUAAUGUUUAGUUUGAUUCUAUUUAGGUCAUUUAGAUGGUUUUUAAUUGUUUAAACAAGUUUAAACAAACCAACCAUUUAAUUCAUCAUUUAGGGCCUAAAUGAUACUGUGAACACAUAGAUCUGGUCACUGCGCAGGAUACAUGACAAGCCUGGAAGACCUGCUUAGCUUUAGUGCAAGUCCUGCCAAUUUUGGAUUGGUAUUCCAGUCAAUUUGACCUAUAAUUGACUAGGGAAAAGAUAGUCAAUUAUGGCUACAGAGCCUAUGGGAUAUCAGCUACGGAGCUUAUACCCAGCAGUUUAUAAUAGUACAAAAUAGCUAAAAUAAGCAUCAUCAGCUAGAACAGAGCACACUCAUGCGUAAACAAUAUGAAUCACAAAGCCGAUGAAUGUAAAAUAUAACAAAUCAUGAAAGCACAUGUUAUUGGCCACAUAGCCGAUGAAGCAAAAUAGGUCGAAACGGUACAACAUUGAUAGUAGGCGAUAAAUUAAAGAGUACAUAGCUAAUAGAUCUGUUUAUAUCAAAGGAAGACCUUGAAUACACACUAUAUAUAAUGGACUACAAUUAAGAUACACUAGCUGAUAUAGCAAAAUCUGACGACAUCAGAGUAAAGAUUAACGUGAUAAACUACAAAGAUUAAUAGGAUGAUAGCCGAUGGAUCUUAAUUUAGUAGGAUAAAUUGGUGAUCUUACUAAAUCUAGUAAGAUCAAAAGAUGAAACUUUACGAAAUGUAGUAAGAUCAAUAACUAGUAAUUCUAUCAAAUAUGGCAAGAGAUCAAAUGAUAUAGCCUUACUAAAUCCAACAAAAUCGAUAACUAGUGAUUUAAUAUCAAAUUAAGCAAGAGUUCAUAAGAUGCAGCCUCACUAAAUCAAAUACAAAUCGUAACUAACACCAGAUCAAGCAAGGGAUCGAACAAUGCAACCUACUGAAGAACUCGGUGAUAUCUACUUUUACUCCUACUCCUAAUACAAUAACGUGAAAGCCGAAAAAAUAUAUUAAUUGUGAGUGAUGUUCAAUUACAAUAGCUGGGGUUUAUAUUUAUACCAUUAGUUAAAUUCUACAUUUAAUUAUAUUGGUUAGUCAUAACAAAUAAGUUAUUCACCCCCUCCUAAUCAGUCUUCUCGACCUAAUACUUCUUUAUGCAUCGUGCGUUAUGCUCAAGCAUCAUGUUUAACCUAUGUAUCAUAUGCAAUCAUGUAGGGGCAGAAGUGACUGAGGAGGCUGAGUCUUGAGAUCGAGCCAGAGUUCAUUGUUGUGCUCUAUGCAGACCCUCAAGGUAGGCACACGUAAGAAUCUAGCCUUGAACCUUUAUAAUACAUAAAUAUGCAUGACUAUGUGCUAUGUAUCAUAUCCUUGCAUGCGUUAAUUUUGUAUAUUGCCCAUGACCUAGAGGCAACCCAUUUGUAGCUUUACUUUCUUGUUAUUCAUGAUCCAUGUCAUGAACUGUUGUCUGUUUAAUUCCUAGAACAUAAUAUUGCUUAACAUGCUCAAUCAGGCAUUCAAAAACGAAAUAACUAUCGUUCUCGCUUCCUAAGAAACAACUUUGAUUAAAUAUAUAUUAAAAAAAUAUUAAUACAUAUGAUACAUAAUUAGUAUCAUCAGAAAGAUCUUUGAAUCUAGUUUUUUUAAUAAAUUUAUUUGGAGAUGUAAACAUUGCACGUAUUUUCUAUAAAUAUAGUCAAACUUGUGACACAAAAACUCAAAACGAUAGUUAUUUUAGGACUGAGGGAGUACAUGUCAAGGUCACUGCUUAUUACUACUUCUUGUGACCAUGUAGGAAUUGUGUGAUUAAUGAACUUGGACUGGAGGAAAGAAAUUUGAACAAGACGAUGAAUGUUGAUCGACGCUCAUCACACCGAGAUGGGGUCUUGUGCGACGGUAAAGUCGUUUGAGCUAGUUAAGAACUAAUUUUUGUUGCAUCAAGAUUUCAAAAAAAAAAUAUGUUGCAUCAAAUUUGAGAACCCUUCCGUACUUACCAUAUGUCAGUGUGAUAAGUCAAGUAAUAACAUGUUGUGACCGGGUAAUUUGAUGAUUCGGUGUAACGACGACAGUAGUAGCUAGCAAGAAGCUAUAUUUCAUUCACUACUAGAUACUAGUAUAUUGACCGUGCUAACGCUAUUGACCGUGCUAACGCUACGGUGAUAUUUAGAAAAAAAAUUACAAAACUAAAAUAAAUCAUAAAACUAAAAAACAAACCUACCCCACUAACAAAAAAAAAGUCUAUAUGAAAAUUACGGUACUUCAUUUGGGAACAUAUAUUUAGUUUUAACAAAUGCUACGUAGAAAAGUUGAUAAACACAACUGAUCUACAAAGUUUCAAGAAAUUUUCAGUCUUGAAUACUGAACCAGGAGCAAAACCACAAAUUAAAGCCUGAAUAUUGAAGACUAAAUUAGCACCAACUUUUGUAAUUUAGGAACACAUUUACCAUGUCAAAAUUUAGCAAUCACUAGAUAGAAUAUUUUACUAUAAGCAAUUUGUAUAAUUGUAUUGCAUAAAUACUCAAACUGAGACCAUUACAAGUCUUGAUAAAUUGAUCUGACAAUCUGGUGAAUUAGACUGAAAAAAGCUAAUGAGCUUCAUCUAUUCUCACAUCAAACUGGUUCUGUUAAGUGGAAUAACGUACUGCAUGAACAAACUCAUGCAAAUACUAAAGCCAUUAACAGGAUAUUACUUCUUUACUAAUUUGAAGCAGAAACUAUGGAAAAUAAAAUAGAUAGAACAAUCAAAUGCAGCAUGGAAAAAAAUCAGAAAUCUUCUCAAGUUGGUAUGGGAUCCGCUUGCUAUGCCACCAUGGUCAAGAAAGCAGAGACACCCCCUUUACUACUAUGAUAUGAAUCAUUAGUUUUAGCAAGUUGCUAUUUUAUUUAGCAAGUCAAAAAAAGAUCUCUCUCCAACAAUUUAGUAUUCUAACUUGGUAAAAUCACUAUAAGCGUGGUUUUUUUCCUAGGGCUAUUUGCAAAGUGAACACAAAACUUUCUCGUAAUUAAUCAAACCCAAAUAAAAAAUUCUUCUCUCUAGCAGUUUUACAAAGUGAACACGGUAAAAAGUUUCUAUUUGCAUGGAUGCCCUUCUCUCCGUCUACGGCGACAGUCUCGCGGCUCUGGCACCGGCGUUGGGCAUCGCGCUCAUGGCUG
rnacentral:lncRNA from 1 species